GGCGUAUUUCCGGCAGCGGAACUCGACCACAAACUCAAGUGAUCGUCGAUUACACCGACGCCCACAAAGCCGACUACGGGGUCGAGCCGAUCUGCCGGGUCCUGAGCCAGGCCGGUGGGUAGAUCGCCCCG
rfam:Rhodococcus rhodnii LMG 5362 LMG_5362_contig040, whole genome shotgun sequence.